CAAAUAUUUUAAUUAUGUGUUAUCCUUUUGUAUUGCAAUUUGUUAGUAAAUCAGAUUUUGGUGUAUAUAACAACAUCCAACUUGAUAGUCUGCAAAGGCUAUCUGUAUUUUGUUAAUAAAUUAAAAAAACUUUUCAGUGAUACAUUUUAUUUAGAACGAUUAUUGGAUUAAGUUUGGGGAUAAAUCAUAUUGCAUAACUGAGAGAAUUUAAGUGUAAAUUCUAUGACAUGCUCUUUUGAGUUUUACCCCAAUUGAACAUAUAAAUGUACACAUACUAUUUCAGUCUAAAAUUAUAGAAUUUGUUCAUUCAAUCAUGUUGAAUGACUGGUCUCAGGAGAUGAAAUAUCUUUACAUGUAUAUUUUACAUUAAAAAUUACAGUGUUAGUGUAAAUCUUUUUCAGGAAGAACAAAAAAUAUGAGUGCAUAGUCAGAUAAAAUGGAAAAAUGUUUUACUGAAAAUACUCUCUUUGGGGAAAAAAAUUCAUAAAGCCUUUAAGUGCUGUAUCUCUCACUCAGACUUUAGAAAUUUUAACAUUUUCAAUGUGCCCAGGAUGUGAAUACAAAGACACAUUUUAUUAUCAAGGAGACUGUACAGGUCGCUCUUUUUUUGUUUGAAUAUUGGAAAAGGAUGUAAUGUUAACAUUUUCUGGUUUUAAAAUUUUAAAAUCAAAUUGUUUAACCAAACUUUUAUGUAUCAAGAUGCUGUUUCCCUUUCAUUGCAGAAUUGUUUAUAAAAAUUCAUUCCUGAAAAAUUUGAAUCCUUUUUAAUAUCACACCAUUUGUACUAUGUUGCUUUUUAAUAUAUUAAAAACAAAAGGAAAAAAAUAGAAGCUACU
rnacentral:lncRNA from 1 species